GCGGAGCUUCUUUGGCCCGGGCGUGAGCGGUUGCUUGGGCCAGAAGGUUCUCUUGUGAAGGCGCUCCUCCUGCUGCCCCGCCCAGUAGGUUCGUUCGCACCGCUUCUUCCCCACCCUUUCUCCCUCCUCCUACUCGUCCCGCCUUUCUCCCCUCCUCCCCAACCCCUCUAGUUCCUUCUCCGCCUCGCCACCUUCUACGAUCUCGCGAGACUUGGCCCAGAACAUUGCGGAUCGGGUCGGCGCCAUUUUGGGACUGAGGCUGGUUGUGGGGGAGGGAAAAGCGGCAAAAGGGGAUUAUUCAAAGUACCGAAACCCUUCUCCCGGGAUCGAGAACAGCGGCACCCCCAGGCCAGGGGCACCUCUGGUGGGGCAGAAGGUAACACCGUCUUCAGUGCUCCGCGCCGGAGUCCGGGGGAGGAAGGGGGUACCCGUGUCGGCGUUGGGUUUUGAGGGGUCGGGAGCGGCGUUGGCGGCGCGAGGUGAUCGAAUUACUCACAUAGGAGGAUCAUCUUCUAGGUUUUGUUAAAGGCCCUGGAUAGUUGAAGUGGCCAUUUUGGAAUUACAAUGGUUUUGGAUAAUUUUGCCCCAGAAGUUUGUUAAAAUUGGCAAAGAUCGUCUCUGAAGUGAAUCGAUAAUAGUGAACAAUUCAACAAGCUACUUAAAAAGAGACUCAGGCAUUUCUUCUGUAUUUUGGUUCAAACGGAUUAUAUAACUGGUUAAAGUAUUUCAGCUGGUGGAAUUUUUCCUACCUCCCCUCCCACCCCCCCAUUGGUGUUCUUCACCCAAAACUGUAAGAUAUGUUUGAUCUGUGUAUUGAGUAGUUUCAGAUUACUGUUUAAAUAUUGCUGGUUUCAUGGCAGUUUUUUUUACAUAUAUUAAAAGUUUUAGGAAUUUUUGACCUCAACCCUUUUCAUAUCACAAUGGGACAGCUUUUCUAAAUGAAGACAUUGAAAGAGUACAGAGUUUUUUUCCUUUUAUCUUUUAUUUACGUGGAAAUUUAAGAUGUUGCAGUUCCCCAGCAGCAUGGUAGUAUUGAGAUAGCUAUGUGUCUCCCUGUAUGUGCUGAUGUUUAGGAAUGCUUUUCAGAUGUGAAAUUUUCUUUUUGUUUUUGCUUUUUGACUCAUAAAUUGGAUAUUUCAUCUGGAGUGGAUAAGUACAACGGUGACAAGUACAUGGAAUAAUAAAGAAGACAGGCUUCAGAAGACUUUAAUCUUAAAUUCAAGGAACUUGGCUGAGUCUGGAGAUAGCCAUAUGAAAACUUUAAAACAGAAGUAUGGGUAGCUGACUUGAAGUAACUCUAUGUCAAAUAGUCUUAGGUUAAGCAUCUUCAGAGAACUUGGAUAUUAUUUCAGAGGAUACAAAAUAAAAAAACAAACUGGAAAACAUAAAGAUUACAGGAAAAAAACUGACACCUUCCUGUGCAGUCCUGUUGGAAUUUGUAAGUACUAUUUGGUGAGCAAAUCAAAUGUUCAUCUGUAAACUGUGAUGAGAGUCAAGUUUUAUCCUGUUGCUCUUGGAAGCCUUUCUGUUUCCUCGACUGUCUGAAAACAGCUGUUAACCAUUAUCUGAGUAAAUUAAAAUGAAGAAAAUAUAGUAUUUCACAUUCAAGCAGUUCUAAAUUAUACAUUUUUGUGCUCUUAAAGUAAAAAAUUAAAUUUACAUGAUCAGUAUGCAUCUUAGCCUUUAUGGAUUAAUAGAUUGGUAGAAAGGUAUUAAAAUCAAAUACUUUUCAUGUGUCUUGAUAGCCAGGUUUACGUUUUAAUUGUGAGAGAUUAUUGUAGUUAAUAGUUAAAAUAGUUUACGAUAACUUACAGUUCUUGAUUUUUAAUCUUUCAUGAAGUAGCAUGUUCUAAUAGAAAUCCUUUUUUGGCUAAUGGGAAAAUUUCUUUUAAUGAUAUUUGUGUUUUUCAGCGUUUAAUGGUGUUUUUAGUUACAGUUAACGCAUUUAGUUUUUCAUUGACUUAGAGGCAUUCAGUGAAUACUUUUGAGUUUUAAAAAAGUCAUUAAAAUGUAUUUUUUAAGUAAAAUAAUAGCACAUUAAUGUAACCUAACUUAGUUUAAUUCAUUUAAUUACCUUUCUGAGGUAAAAGAAUAAAGUUUUUGGAUACCACUAUUGCCUA
ensembl:lincRNA